GUGUCAGCAGCCGCGGUAAUACGUAGGGGGCUAGCGUUAUCCGGAAUUACUGGGCGUAAAGGGUGCGUAGGUGGUUUUUUAAGUCAGAAGUGAAAGGCUACGGCUCAACCGUAGUAAGCUUUUGAAACUAGAGAACUUGAGUGCAGGAGAGGAGAGUAGAAUUCCUAGUGUAGCGGUGAAAUGCGUAGAUAUUAGGAGGAAUACCAGUAGCGAAGGCGGCUCUCUGGACUGUAACUGACACUGAGGCACGAAAGCGUGGGGAGCAAACAGGAUUAGAUACCCUGGUAGUCCACGCCGUAAACGAUGAGUACUAGGUGUCGGGGGUUACCCCCCUCGGUGCCGCAGCUAACGCAUUAAGUACUCCGCCUGGGAAGUACGCUCGCAAGAGUGAA
rnacentral:rRNA from 1 species